GAGCUUGUACUGAGCUUAGAGGAGCCCCUGGCACCAACCAGGAUUGCCAUGGGGCAUUCAGACAUAGAGAUGCAGACAUACAGGACUCCAGCAACGUAUCAACAAAGCAGAGGUCAACUUAUGGUCCUCCAGAGAGACUGUAGGGACCUUGGCAUUGUGUAAACAAACUUCUGGGAUCAGCUUUAAGGUGACAGAUGAGGUCUGGCCCCUUCCUGGCAUACCCUAAGCCAGACUUCAGCAUCUCUCCUGGCCCAGAGAGGCUUACCAGUAUCCUUCUGGUGACUACAGAUGCAACCCUCUGCUAGGAGAAGGGUUCCACCUGCUGCUGCCCCUUGCCUGCUCUCUCCUCCAUCCAUCACCAUCUCCACCUCCUUUGGUUUCCUUCAUGUUUCUGUAUUUUUGGUUAUGUGCAAAUGGACUCAGGGGAGGGUCCAAGCAACAGCUGCCUUUGAUCAGUGCAAAAUGUGGGAGAUGGAGCACUUCAGGAAUGCCGACUCCUGAUCAAAGGUGGGAACUCAGUGACAGCCGGGACUCGGCAAGAGCCCAUCCCUGCUAAUCCCCAGCAGGGAGCCGGAGGUAGGACCAGCAACCCACAAGUCCAUCUGCCUGCCCAUCAGAAUGGACAAGCCAAUGUGUUGAAAGUGAUGGGAGGCCAAGCUGGAGGGUGGCCUCCAAAAUUCAUUGCUGGCACCUGAACCCAACCAUGCCUGUUGGCAGCAGAAAUACUAUACACAGCUGGUUGCUCUGAUGGAGAGGUGACACGGGGAAAAUGGGACAGAAAUGCCCUAACAUGUCACCUAUAUAAAGAUGAGGCUGGGUUGAGAGGUGGCUUGCCAUAAGAGCAUCUAGAGGAAGAGAAGAAUGGAUCAUCCUUCCUGAGGGGUAAACUGAGGUCACUGGUGGAGAAGUUAGAGCCCAGCCUCCCUUUCAGAGGGGAAACCCCACAGUUGAGUGAGUCUGCAUGCAGCCCCCCAAGCCAUUCCCAGAGCUCCUUCCAUCCCAGACAUUCUUAUCUGCUGUCCAUUUCCCUGAUAACCUUGGGCAUGAAGCUGGGAAACCCAUCUGCACAGAACAGGUUUGCCCAGGAAGGCAGAGGGUGAAAACCCACUUCCCACAGUGUUUGGCCCCUCCAAUGGGAAGGAUGCUCCUCCCAACCCCAGCCCCACUCAGCAAACAGCAAAAGAAUUCCUUGUUGCCCACAACCCUGUGCCUUUCCCUGCCCCAUCUCUAUCUGGACAUUUCUUGGACAAGGCUGCUCUGUCAUGUUGAAAAGGGAAGCUUUUAGAAAGAGCCAAUAAGGGCAGUUCCCUUGGGACCUCCAUGGGAAGGGUCACGGGUCGCUUCCUAGCAGUGCUUGUCCUGAUAAUGAGUCGAUCAAGGCUGGGGUUGUGGAGACAGCAUUUAUCAGCAAACCCUGGGAACACUGAGACGUAAAAAUGUCUUCUCAUUUGCCAGACUGGGGAGAUGGAGCAGGGACAAGCCCUGGUGCAAGGAUGGAGGUCUCAGGGUGUGGGAGCCAAUCGGCCAGAACAGAGAAAGGCUAUGGGAGGGAACGUGAGAGAGGAAGAACAGUGUGAAUGGAUGGGCAGUGCAAGGGAUGCAUUCCCUGAUUGUUUCCAGAGCAGUGAUGUUUUGCACCAUGAUGGGGUUGCCAUGGCAAGCAGGGAAAUGAGAUGUGCCCAGAUCAGGAUAGGCGGCCACCAGGGAGAGGUUGUACAUGGGAGCCAAGUCCCGUACAAGUCCCAUCUCCCAAAAACUACCUACCAAACACCUUUUUUUGCCUACCUUUGCCACCCUACUCCCUCAUCCCAUCCAGGCAAAUCAUAGCCAGACUCUUGGCACAGAGGGAUGAAUGAUUCGGGGAGCAGAAGGAAUAUCACAUCACACUGCUGUAGGAAGGGAGAAGAGAGCAUGGGGUGUGUGGCACAGCCUGUCACUGCUCGGGAUGCUCUGGGUGACAGGCCACCACUGACACAUCAGCACAGCUGACACACUAACAGGCAGCACGGGAAGGGCAGGGCACAGCGAGGGAUGGGAUUGUUCCUAGGACUUAACCCCCUCCUCAGCCUCUCCCCCACCGUACAUAUCUUGCAAACACCUUUUCCUAUCAGAGACAUUUAGCAGGGCUUAUAUUGAAAGUACCUGCCUCCCUUGGCCGGGAGUCAAAGGCCCCAGUGCCGGAAUCCUGUACUCACCCAGCACAAUUAUCCCCGACCA
rnacentral:lncRNA from 1 species